rnacentral:rRNA from 1 species
UACGAAGGGGGCUAGCGUUGCUCGGAAUCACUGGGCGUAAAGGGUGCGUAGGCGGGUCUUUAAGUCAGGGGUGAAAUCCUGGAGCUCAACUCCAGAACUGCCUUUGAUACUGAGGAUCUUGAGUUCGGGAGAGGUGAGUGGAACUGCGAGUGUAGAGGUGAAAUUCGUAGAUAUUCGCAAGAACACCCGUGGCGAAGGCGGCACUCUGGGACGGUACGUGACGCUGAGACGCGAAAGCGUGGGGAGCGAACAGG